GUUUGACCUCGGAUCAGGUAGGAGUACCCGCUGAACUUAA
rnacentral:rRNA from 1 species